UGUUCCCCGCCGUGAUAUUGCUGGAAUAUUGCUAAAAGCGGCGUAAAACCAAACUCGCUCACUCGCUCUUAGUAAAAUACAAAUUCUAUUACUUUUGGGGGUUGUGUCCCAUCCGUGAUUCAAACCCUCACCCUCAGAGUCCGACACCAAAUCGCCAGCACACAAAGUCAGCCACCUGACCCGUUAAGCCACCGUGACUUCCACAGUUUAGAGGUUGUGGGUUCGAAUCCCGGAUGGGACUCGACCCAAAAAAGUACUAGAAUUUGUACUUUACUAAGAAAGUGUAAUCCCAAAUAUAACAUAUGUUGCGUUGCAGAGGAUAGCACUAUGUGGAGGAGGUAGACCACAUUGUAGGUCAUCUUGUGCCAAUGGUCCUUACAGCAUUGAGAAUUGGCUCAACAAAACCUGAUGACUGGCUCCCAGGUAAAACCCAGCAUCAACCUGUGCAAGAUGUAAGAGGUUGCAGAUGUAUCAGGUUAUCUGGCUGGGUGACCUGGUCGAUCAGGUGUCAUCGUGACCUGGUCGGUCAGGUGUCAUUGUGACCUGACGCCAAGGGGCAGAAUCUAGUUUCAACCUGUGCAAGAUGUAAGAGGUUGCAGAUGUAUCAUGUUCUGGCUGGGUGACCUGGUCGAUCAGGUGUCAUUGUGACCUGACGCCAAGGUGUCAUUGUGACCUGACGCCAAGGUGUCAUUGUGACCUGACGCCAAGGGGCAGAAUCUAGUUUCAACCUGUGCAAGAUGUAAGAGGUUGCAGAUGUAUCAUGUUCUGGCUGGGUGACCUGGUCGAUAAGGUGUCAUUGUGACCUGACGCUGAGGGGCAGAAUCUAGUUUCAACCUGUGAAAGAUGUAAGAGGUUGCCGAUGUUUUGGGAUAUCUAGCUGGGUGACCUUGUCAAUCAGGUGUCAUGGUGACCCGAUGCCGUUUGGUAAUGUUCAUAACAUCAUCCACUAGUUUGUCCAGCCAGAUUUGAUCAUUUAUAGGCUGCCCUAAUAUUGAUGACAUAUUUACUAUACAGGCAACUAUGUAUGUCUGAACUCUUGCUCUGGUGUAAAACACAUGGCAUAAUAACAACUCCAAGUUUCAUGCAUGUACUCAAUCAUGUCAUGUAUCAUCUGUGUAAGGGAAUACUUCAUGUUGCUUGCUGUAUCUGCAGAGUUGUAUUGGCCACUGUUACUGGCUGUACAUAUUGGUAUGUCUCUUGUUUAACAAUGUCAUCACCCGCUGAUCACAUGCAGACUGGGUAUUAAAAAGAAUAGUGAUCUCCAAA